UGGGGAAUAUUGCACAAUGGGCGGAAGCCUGAUGCAGCGACGCCGCGUGGGGGAUGAAGGCCUUCGGGUUGUAAACUCCUUUCGACAGGGACGAAGCUCUUGUGACGGUACCUGUAUAAGAAGCACCGGCUAACUACGUGCCAGCAGCCGCGGUAAUACGUAGGGUGCGAGCGUUGUCCGGAAUUACUGGGCGUAAAGAGCUCGUAGGUGGUUUGUCGCGUCGUCUGUGAAAUUCCGGGGCUUAACUCCGGGCGUGCAGGCGAUACGGGCUGACUUGAGUGCUGUAGGGGAGACUGGAAUUCCUGGUGUAGCAGUGAAAUGCGCAGAUAUCAGGAGGACCACCGAUGGCGAAGGCAGGUCUCUGGGCGGUAACUGACGCUGAGGAGCGAAAGCAUGGGUAGCGAACAGG
rnacentral:rRNA from 1 species